AUCUCCUGACCUUGUGAUCUGCCCACCUCGGCCUCCCAAAGUGCUGGGAUUCAGGCGUGAGCCACCUUGCCCGGCCAUGGGUGUGUCUUUUACUGGCACCAAGUGAGCAAUAACUUGACAUGUUUGUGCAUGAAUACCUGUGUGUACAUGUGUGCCUAUGUGUUUAUGCCUUUGUGAGUGCGUGUGCUUAUAGGAAUCCCGUGCCUGUGUGCAUGCUUAUGUGUGCACGUGUAUAUACAUGUGUAUGCAUGUGUGAAUGUUUUGUGUACUUCUCUUCAUGCACACAUAAGCUUGUGUGUUUUGCAGUUUGUGUAGGUUUGCACGUGUGCACUUGCUUAUAUGCAGGGGUGUGAACAUGCCUGUGUGUCCCUGAGCAUGUGUGUGCCUUGCGUGUCCAUCUCUGCCUGUGUAUGACUGUGUGUGUGCAUGCAUGCUUGCAGGUGCCUGUGCCUAUAUGUACACUUGAAUUUGGGUGCAACAAAGUCUCUGAUCUGCAGAGGUGGCCAGGCUCUUCCAGACAAUGUUUUGCAGGCCUGUUGUCAGGUGGAGAAAUUGCAUCCCAGAGCAGGAAAACCCAAAUCUUGGGCUCUCAAAGGCUCCUCCAGGCACCCUGAGCUUCCUGGCUGGACUGCUUCCCUGGAACCUGGCUGCCUUUCAGCACUCAACUCUGCCACAGACUCAAGAGACCACAAGGGGGUGCUGGGGCCCCAGACACCGAGCACUAACGGCUAUCUCUAAAUAGUGUGCGUGGGAAGUGAAUGCUGGCUCCUACCACAGGCUGGCAGCUUCUACACCCACCCUGUUGGAUGAUGGGGAUCUGUCCAGGAGUGAGGCCGUUUCAUUUGUGCCACUUUCAGCCUUCAGGCUCCACCCACCCUCCCUGACCCUGAGGAGUGAGUGGGCCCUGGGGGGGCUCUGCAGCCCUUCGCACUGCCCAAGUGUUUGGGGUGGUGCAGCAGCCCAGGUUUGUCAAACUAAAUGUGGUUUCUACAUGUUGGGUUUCUUUAAAUGGAGCCAAUCUACUCCCUUCCCAGUCCCCCACCUGGCUCCCCAGGCCCACCACAUGUGGCUGUGAAUCCCCUGACGAAGGAGAGAAGCCAAAGUCUAGUCCCAGAGCCAGUGUUUAUUAGCAAGAUGGAACCCAAAGGCGGCUGUGGCCUGGGCAGCAGAAGGCCGCCAGGAGCCCCCACCCAUCUACCCAACUGCUCCCAGAGCUAAUUACAUCCACACCCAUUGCUUGACGUGGUGGACAUAAGCCCUGGGGAGCCUCUACUGGCCCCAGGCCUCUACCACGGACCCCCUCCCCUCAGAGCUGGGGCCUCCCGUCAGCCCUGCCUGGGCCUGGCCCCUCUGCUAUGCUCCCAGCCUCCGAGUCAAACUGGCACAGGGAAAGCUAAGGAGGUAGAGUGGGGUGGCCCUGCCCUGGCCAGGCGGGGAGGGGAGAAGGGGCUGAAGGGGCUGUCCCACCCAGGCAGGAUGCCUCUUCUCCUAUCCCCAAUAAAUAGAGAAUAAAUACCCAGGAAGGGGCUGGCCGUGGCUGAGUGCCCCCAACCCAGGCAGGGCCUGGCAUCCUGUGAUGGCCCCUUCUUCCCUUCUCUGAGUGCACUUAAGGCCACCCCAGUCUCCAAAGUGGUCCUCGCAUCCAUGUCUAUGCCACAGCACAGGUUGACAGUGACAGCACACAUCAGAAAAGGUGGACAGUCCGUGCCCCAUUCGAGCAGGGCUUGUUCCCUCCCUUUGUCCUGUAGAUCUUGGUGGAGGCUGUCAAGCAGGUAGACUUCCAGCUGAGUCUGGGGACUGUGUGGUCCUGGCCUGGCCCCACCAACUGGCUGGGCCUGUUUAGGCUGGCUCUGUUUUCUGCCGUCUCUGACCAACAUGGGUCUAAGUUUUGGAGGAUGCUGCCACUAAGGCAGGCUAUAUUCAACCCACCAAUAAAUACUGUCUUUGCAGGG